rnacentral:rRNA from 1 species
GAUGAACGCUGGCGGCGUGCCUAAUACAUGCAAGUCGAGCGAACAGACGAGGAGCUUGCUCCUCUGACGUUAUCGGCGGACGGGUGAGUAACACGUGGAUAAACUACCUAUAAGACUGGGAUAAAUUCGGGAAACCGGAGCUAAUACCGGAUAAUAUAUUGAACCGCAUGGUUCAAUAGUGAAAGACGGUUUUGCUGUCACUUAUAGAUCGAUCCGCGCCGCAUUAGCUAGUUGGUAAGGUACCGGCUUACCAAGGCAACGAUGCGUAGCCGACCUGAGAGGGUGAUCGGCCACACUGGAACUGAGACACGGUCCAGACUCCUACGGGAGGCAGCAGUAGGGAAUCUUCCGCAAUGGGCGAAAGCCUGACGGAGCAACGCCGCGUGAGUGAUGAAGGUCUGCGGAUCGUAAAACUCUGUUAUUAGGGAAGAACAAAUGUGUAAGUAACUAUGCACGUCUUGACGGUACCUAAUCAGAAAGCCACGGCUAACUACGUG